rnacentral:tRNA from 1 species
GGUGGAGCAGUUGGUAGCUCGUCGGGCUCAUAACCCGAAGGUCGCAGGUUCAAGUCCUGCCCCCGCAACCA